UGGGAGCUGAUAAGCCAGCAAUUUCAAAAUAUAAUUGUCUGGUCACAUGAUCUCCCUAUAGUAUACUGCCCUCUGAAGACGGUGACGCAGGAAGCAAACUCGUCACGGACAGAUACGGAGCAGACAAAU